rnacentral:rRNA from 1 species
GCAGUCGAGCGAACAGAGAAGGAGCUUGCUCCUUUGACGUUAGCGGCGGACGGGUGAGUAACACGUGGGCAACCUACCUUAUAGUUUGGGAUAACUCCGGGAAACCGGGGCUAAUACCGAAUAAUCUAUUUCACUUCAUGGUGAAAUACUGAAAGACGGUCUCGGCUGUCGCUAUAAGAUGGGCCCGCGGCGCAUUAGCUAGUUGGUGAGGUAACGGCUCACCAAGGCGACGAUGCGUAGCCCACCUGAGAGGGUGAUCGGCCACACUGGGACUGAGACACGGCCCAGACUCCUACGGGAGGCAGCAGUAGGGAAUCUUCCACAAUGGGCGAAAGCCUGAUGGAGCAACGCCGCGUGAGUGAAGAAGGUUUUCGGAUCGUAAAACUCUGUUGUAAGGGAAGAACAAGUACAGUAGUAACUGGCUGUACCUUGACGGUACCUUAUUAGAAAGCCACGGCUAACUACGUGCCAGCAGCCGCGGUAAUACGUAGGUGGCAAGCGUUGUCCGGAAUUAUUGGGCGUAAAGCGCGCGCAGGCCGUCCUUUAAGUCUGAUGUGAAAGCCCACGGCUCAACCGUGGAGGGUCAUUGGAAACUGGGGGACUUGAGUGCAG